UGGGUUCGGGGCGUGACAGAAUGGUAUUAGAGCUUAGGUUAUGAUCAUUGAAGAUUACGAUAUAAAUGAUUAGGAUGUGAUAGAAUAAUAUCAUAGCUUAGGUUUAAGAUCACCAGAGAUUAUGAAGAGAUAUUAAAACUUUAUGUAAAGAUCAGUAGGAUGUGACAGAGUGGCAUCUGAGCUUAGAGCUUAGGUUACGUUUAUUUGGAGACAAUGAUACAAGUGAUUAGGAUAUAACAGAACAGUAC
rnacentral:lncRNA from 1 species